rnacentral:lncRNA from 1 species
AGGCAAAUUUGUAGAGUUGGGUGUGAAUUUCACUGAGUCUGAAAGUAAAUAUUUUCAAGUAAUGAAACUGAAAAAGCCACCAAUCCAAGAAGACUGGUGUCCUUAACCCAUGAAAGUCCAACUGGAGAUCCUUCCAUAUUCAGUCUUCUUUGUGGAGCCAAACUGGAGACGCCACCCCCUCCAUUACUGUUGUGGGAAGCCUGAGGGCUCAGCACCAUAAAAGCUGCCCCUAUCGAAGCCAUCACUAGAAAGAGGUAGAAGAAUGUCACAUCCUUAUUGGACCACUGAAUAUCAAACCAUAAAUGCACGUUUUUGUGGAAUAAAAAUCCACUUCUUCAGCUAUACACCAGUGCAGGAAAAAAAAUAUAAAUGGACGUCGUAAAAAUUCGUGGCAGAAGUUGCCAGGUACAAUCUUUUAAAGGUGUGUUUAAAACGGGUUAUAGACAGGCUGUCGUGGCGUGGUCGGAAGUUUCCACUCAGUAUUCAGAUGGGGCAGCCCAUCGCUCUAGCUUUCUUUCAAAAAGGAAUUCCUUAUCUGUGGGUUGUGUGUGAGAGUCACACAGGGCUGGCGCUGGCCUCACCCCCUCAAACUUCCAAAUUGGGUUACUUAGUUUUGUGAUCAGUCUGCAGGCCAUGAACUUGGCCUUAGACACAUCUCAUCUUGAACACUCAUGCAGAUUCAGCUCUGGGCUAUCCAUCCAUCCGUCCGUCCGUCCGUCCGUCCGUCCGUCCGUCCGUCCGUUCUGUCUCUCUCUGUCUCUCUCUCUCUCUCUCUCUCUCUCUCUCUCUCUCUCUCUCUCUCUCUCUCUCUAUCUAUCUAUCUAUCUAUCUAUCUAUCUAUCUAUCUAUCUAUCUAUCUAUCUAUCUAAACUUACAUACCGCCCCCUAGUGCCAUGCUACCAAAUUUCAAUGGCUAUGAAAGGGCUGGUCUACAUUUGUUGUUGUUUAGACUAAACAACUAAACAACAAACUGGUGGAAGAGGCAUGGCCAUUCGGAUUAACUGGUCAUUCUUCAAGACGGAAUCCUAGAAUCAUGGAGCUGGAAGGGGCCUCUAAGGCCAUCAAUCCAUGCCUCUGCUCAAUGCAGGAGUCUAAAUCCAAGCAGAUCGGACAGAGGGUGGUCCCAUUUUCUUUUGAAUGCCUCUUGCACUGGAACACUCACCACCUCCCAAGGUCACGGGUUCUGUCAUCGUACUGUUCUAACAGUUAAGAACUUUGUUUCCCAUGAUAUUCAGCCUAACUGUCUUCCUGCUGCUUGAACCCAUGAUUAUCAAUAAAGUCCCAAAGAACUUCA